AUUUAUGUACGUGCCUGGUAUACCGAAGAGGUGUGGAUACCUUGACUUUAUUUCAUAUUCCAACUCUUGAAGUAUAACCUUGAAUACCUUUAUCGUCGAAAACAUUACAUAUUACAUACGUGCAUGCCCGAUGUCCUCUGAUUGCCUCUGAAUGCACAUUAGUCCCUAAAAUAGCCAUUUUAGGCCUUGAUACCGACCUCAAAUCUCACAAUAUAAAGAAUGAAAGUUAUAGAUCUACUCGUUAUCUUUCCGAAUCAUCCUGAAUCACCUCAAUCGGAGUUCAUAUGAAAAUGUUAUGCCCAAUUUACUAAAGGACGUCCGGACAGAUUUUGGCUUAAAACUUGACCAGUGCCUAGGCGCCCAGAUUUGGCCUUGGGCAAAUGCCUAGGCGCUCAAGAGUAGAAUCUAAGCGCCGAGCCUAGCGCCUAGGCGCUCGACCCUUGGCACUUAACUCCAAUUUUCCAGAUUUUGUAACUUUUGGCACACAUACUUCAAAUCUUCAUAACUUCUUCAUCCGUUAUCGGAAUUAGUCUUUUUUCAAGGUUAUGGAAAGCUUGUAACAUGCUCUAUAAAACCCCCAUGAUUUCAUAAUUUUUUAGAUUCAUUAAUUAUUCCAAAAUUUGGCUCUAAAGUCCCAUAAGACUAAGUUUUUACUAACAACGAUACGUGAAAAACGUUAUGAACACGUGAUAUACUUGGCGGUAAAACGAGUCUAUAGGCCACAGUUCCUAAUCGAUCGAGGAUUUCAAAUGGACCAAUUUAAUCGAUGGUUAAGAUAACGCCUUCUUGAACCUUCUUCUUUAUAUUCAUCAGAUUCGGGUGUGUAGCUUGAGCGGCCUUUAACUUUAUCGAUUAGAGUCAAUUCUACUCGUAUAUUUGAUAUCACCACGUGGGUCCCUAGAUUCUUUAACUCUAUCUUCAUCAUUUGUAAUUUAUACGAAAUGGGUUUUUGUGUUAACAACGUCACACUCGUAACCGCAUACGAUCUUCUACUCAACGCGUCAGCUACCACGUUCGCUCUUCCACGAUGAUAUUGAAUGGUAUGAUCGUAAUCUUCAACAGCUCGAGCCAACGUCUUUGGCGCAUUAUACGUUCGUUUUGGUUGAAGAAAUAUUUAAGGGUUUUAGAAAUGGGUUUUGUACUGGGGUCAAUACAAAAUUCGUUUUCACACUCUGGGGUAGGUCAAGAAGUCUUCAAUAAUACGUCAGGAAAUUUAUUAACAAUAGAAAUAUCAUUCAAAACUGUGACUCUCAUCCAAGACUUGGAUAGCACGUCACAUUGAUACCUAUUAACUUGUCAUCAUCAUUCGCGGCUUCCCCUACAGAAAGUCUGGCUUCGGUGCAUUCCACACAAGGAAGUCAACAACGAAAGGAUCGGGGCUCUUUACUUAUGGCUUGAUAUAACAGUGAUUAACUUUAGUGGUUUGGUUGCUUGAAUUCGUA
rnacentral:lncRNA from 1 species